GAUGAACGCUGGCGGCGUGCCUAAUACAUGCAAGUCGAGCGGCAGCGCGAGUAGUUUACUACUUGGCGGCGAGCGGCGGACGGCUGAGUAACGCGUGGGAACGUGCCCCAAAGUGAGGGAUAAGCACCAGAAAUGGUGUCUAAUACCGCAUAUGGUCUUCGGAUUAAAGGAUUUAUCCGCUUUGGGAGCGGCCCGCGUUUGAUUAGAUAGUUGGUGAGGUAAUGGCUCACCAAGUCGACGAUCAAUAGCUGGUCUGAGAGGAUGAUCAGCCAGACUGGAACUGAGACACGGUCCGGACUCCUACGGGAGGCAGCAGUAAGGAAUCUUCCACAAUGGGCGAAAGCCUGAUGGAGCAACGCCGCGUGAAGGAUGAAGGCCCUCGGGUUGUAAACUUCUUUUAUGAGUGAAGAAUAUGACGGUAACUCAUGAAUAAGCACCGGCUAACUACGUGCCAGCAGCCGCCGCCG
rnacentral:rRNA from 1 species